UACGUAGGGGGCGAGCGUUGUCCGGAAUCAUUGGGCGUAAAGCGCGUGUAGGCGGCUCGAUAAGUCCGGUGUGAAACCUUGGGGCUCAACCCCAAGCCUGCACUGGAUACUGCCGAGCUAGAGUCCGGGAGGGGAGAGCGGAAUUCCUAGUGUAGCGGUGAAAUGCGCAGAUAUUAGGAAGAACACCGGUGGCGAAGGCGGCUCUCUGGAACGGUACUGACGCUGAGACGCGAAAGCGUGGAGAGCGAACAGG
rnacentral:rRNA from 1 species